GACGAACCAUCCAAACGUUAUUCGGAAUCACUGGGCUUAAAGGGUGCGUAGGCGGCCCGAUAAGUUGGGUGUGAAAUACCUCAGCUCAACUGAGGAAUGGCGCCCAAUACUGUCGGACUCGAGGAAGACAUAGGUGAGCGGAACUUAGGGUGGAGCGGUGAAAUGCGUUGAUAUCCUAAGGAACACCAGUAGCGAAAGCGGCUCACUGGGUCUUAUCUGACGCUGAGGCACGAAAGCCAGGGGAGCGAACGGG
rnacentral:rRNA from 1 species